CUAAUGCUGGCAGCGCUGCAGCAGCUGAUCUAGCUUCGACUGGACUUGACCUCUGACUGCAAGCUAGAGAGACGUCAGAGCGAGAUGAAUACUCGUGUAGCAGUGAAAUGCGUAGAUAUGCUGAAGAGACCCACUGGCGAGCAUCCCCUUCGGCCUGUACUGACGCUCAUGCACGAAGCGUGGGGAGCAAACAGAUAGAUACCCUGUAGUCACGCCCCCUCAAACGAUGUCAACUGGUGUUGGGAGGGGUUCUUUUUCAGUAACGUAGCUAACGCGUGAAGUUGACCGCCUGGGGAGUACGGCCGCAAGGUUGAAACUCAAAAGGAAUUGACGGGGACCCGCACAAGCGGUGGAUGAUGUGGUUUAAUUUGAUGCAACGCGAAAAAACCUUACCUUACCCUUGACAUGCCAGGAAUCCUGCAGAGAUGUGGGAGUGCUCGAAAGAGAACCUGGACACAGGUGCUGCAUGGCCGUCGUCAGCUCGUGUCGUGAGAUGUUGGGUUAAGUCCCGCAACGAGCGCAACCCUUGUCAUUAGUUGCUACGAAAGGGCACUCUAAUGAGACUGCCGGUGACAAACCGGAGGAAGGUGGGGAUGACGUCAGGUCAUCAUGGCCCUUAUGGGUAGGGGUACACACGUCAUACAAUGGCCGGGACAGAGGGCUGCCAACCCGCGAGGGGGAGGUAAUCCCAGAAACCCGGUCGUAGUCCGGAUCGCAGUCUGCAACUCGACUGCGUGAAGUCGGAAUCGCUAGUAAUCGCGGAUCAGCUUGCCGCGGUGAAUACGUUCCCGGGUCUUGUACACACCGCCCGUCACACCAUGGGAGCGGGUUCUGCCAGAAGUAGUUAGCCUAACCGCAAGGAGGGCGAUUACCACGGCAGGGUUCGUGACUGGGGUGAAGUGUAACAAGGUAACC
rnacentral:rRNA from 1 species